AUAUAAAUCACCUGGAGAUCUUGUAAAAAUGUAGAUUUUAAUUCAGUGGGUCUCAGGUGGGGCCUGGGAUUCUGCAUUUCUAACAAGUUCCAGGUGAUGUUGAU
rnacentral:pre_miRNA from 1 species